CCUCAGGUGAUCUGCCGACUCGGCCUCCCAAAGUGUUGGGAUUACAGGCGUGAGCCACUGUGCCCAGCCAGCUAAUUAGCUCUUUUAGUCCCACUUUCCACAGCCUGAUGGAACGCAGCAUGUUAACAGCUCAGUCAGCCCCUUGCCCUGCUCUGGCCCAUGGCUCUGGAGCUGGUUCUGCCCUGCUGCUGCUACUGUUGUGUGGGCGGCUGCCCUCAGCUGGUGGAGGACAGGGCCAUGAUGUUACAGCCUUCCCUGUACCCACAUUUGGUGGGUCCUGAGUUCCUGUGCCAUGUCCAAGAAGAACGAGGUCACACUGACAAAGAGUGAGGAAGGCAGAGAAGAAUGUUAUUGAGCAACAAAACAGCUCUCAGUGGAGAGGGGAUGCGAGGGUGGUCAACCACCUGAAGUUAGGUGAUUUCUAUCAUUGUGGCUGGGUCUGGAACUUUUAUGGUCACAGAAUGUGGCAGGGCAGGCAGUA